UUAUACCCUUAUAAAAGCUAUAAUGCUAGAACUAGUAACAAGAAAAUGCUUUCUCCUAAAUGUACGUAUAAACCAAAAUGGACACACCAUUGGUAGUCAACGUAAAUGUACUCACUACAGUAACACAAACAAGAAAACCCUGUCACACCUAACGUUAACCUUACACUAGAACAUUCCAGGAAAGAUUAAAAGAGAAAGAAGGAACUCGGCAAACCCUAGCCCCGCCUGUUUACCAAAAACAUCGCCUCUUGAAAAAUAUAAGAGGUCCAGCCUGCCCAGUGACAAAGUUCAACGGCCGCGGUAUCCUGACCGUGCGAAGGUAGCAUAAUCACUUGUUCUUUAAAUAGGGACUAGUAUCAACGGCAUCACGAGGGCUGCACUGUCUCCUUUCUCCAAUCAGUGAAACUGAUCUCCCCGUGAAGAAGCGGGGAUUAUUAUAUAAGACGAGAAGACCCCAUGGAGCUUUAAGCAAUGAAUUUACCUUUAAUUGAAACUUCUACUAAUUUCAAAAGCCUAAUUCUAGCUUUUGGUUGGGGGGACCGCGGAGUAUAACUAAACCUCCGCAACUAAUGGGCUCUGCCCUUAUCUAUGAGCCACAGCUCUAAGAAUUAAUAAACUAAUGCCUUUGACCCGAAAACUCGAUCAAUGGACCAAGUUACCCUGGGGAUAACAGCGCAAUCUACUUUGAGAGCCCCUAUCGACAAGUAGGCUUACGACCUCGAUGUUGG
rnacentral:rRNA from 1 species